ACAUCGUGAGUUUUAGUCGGUAAAAAUCCGGCAUGCGGUUGAAACAGUGAGUAAUCCCGUAUCUUUGGAAGAUUUCUCACGAUG
rfam:Anopheles dirus strain WRAIR2 unplaced genomic scaffold supercont1.6, whole genome shotgun sequence.